GCUCCAAAUGCACAGUUUCUCUAAAUUUUUUUUUGAAGUUGCUACAGUAGUUCUCUUAUUUUAGAGAACACUGUAGCAACUCUAUUCCCUUAUUAUAUAUUAAAAAAUUAAACAGUGGCAUUUAAUUUACAAUUCUUUCUCUCUCCCAAACGUUUUUCCUUCUUCUCUAUUGUCUGGUUUCUCUUCAGAAAGCUCCCUCUCUUCAAAAACGCCGCUCUCACGAAAUCAACCCUCGCCGCUGCUCUCUCUCACAAAAAUCUUGCACCGUGUCUUUCUCAAAAGAACUCGCACCGUGCCUUUCAAUCGAAGUUCACUCAACCACCUGUGACGAAGAAUAGAGUUCUGAAGCUCAACCUUGAAUAUCGGUUAGAGUUUCUUAUUUUUAAGUUGGAGGUAUUGGACCAUAAAGCUCGAGAAAGAGCAGGAGUUAUUACACCUACUCUCGGUUCACCAAUUCCUAUACUUCUGCAACUGGAUGCUACUAUUAAGG